rnacentral:rRNA from 1 species
UGAACAAGUUAGCCGCAUCGUGUUGAUGUAAUUUGAGCCGUAGAGAUGGUGGCUGACUCAUAUAUUCGUUAAGCAUCUUGUGCGACCAUUGCUCUUGUAAUGAAUAACUGUCCUGCAUAAACAAUAUUGCAGACCAAGGCAAAGAUAAACUGCUCUUUGACAAAAACAAGCUUUACCUAAUAAUAAAGAGAAUUGGGUUUCUGCUGUCCGUCGUUCGCUUUUUUACAGAAAAGUCCCUGUACUUCUUCAUAAUUAAACCUGCAGUCCCUUCUUAAGUGAAUCUGAGAAAACGUUUUGUUUUUACAAAAAAGCCCCUGCAUUUGUAGUAAUUCAACCCGCGAUCCCGUCUUCCUCUUCCUCAACACCUCCGCUGCCUGAUAAAAAACAGAGGUGGCGAUCUCCGCCGGCCAGCCUCCAGAUCCCCGACAACUGCGAGUGGUUCACGCGUGCCCACUCCCGGCAGCCCUUCUCUUCGCCGUCGUAUGUGCCUCCCUGGCCGGGACCUCCUCCGCCUCUUUGCCACCACUAUCGUGAAUAAAAAAAGCAGCACUAGCUGCCCAGCUUACAGAGGAGAAUGGUUGCAGCUAAUUUGCCAUUUAGGCUAAUCUUAAAGGAAAAAGAGAGCCCAGGUGAAGAUUCAGAAAAAAUAGUCCAAGCGUCCACCGGCGAGAUCUGGGCCCGCAGCCCCACAGCAAGGCGUAGUCGGAGGAGGGUGGGCUGGACACGACCACGCCGAUCCGGAGCCCAGAGCCCCGACGCAGAUCCACGCGGCCCCGUCGAGCAGCCGCCAAGGUCGACCUUGAGCAGGCCACCGUUGUUGCGUCGACCCUGAGCAGACCACCGCUGCCGCGCCCUCCGCCACAGGCCCAGCCAACACCGUGUGCGCGGCCGGGCCACACCACUGCCGCGCCUCCAAGGUCAAGGCCACUGCUUCCGCACCCUCCGCCACAAGCCCAGCCAGCACCGUGCGCGCGGCCCGACCACCACGAGCCCAUACACGAUAUGCAGCCGCGCCGCAACCGGGCGACGAACGCAAAGCAGCCGCCACGGGCGUGCGUGAGUUUAGUGUGGCUGGAGAACGGAUAGAAGAGGAAGGAGAGCAGCCGCUGAUAGAGAAAAGAGAAGGAGAGCAGCGCUGACGAUGUGGGUUCGUGGGCUCGCUGGAUGGAUGAAUAGAGGGAAGAAGAAGAGCAACUCUGUGCUAGAGGAAUGGAGAUGUGGAAGAAGAGCAACGCAAUUGAGAGCUUCUCGGUGGCUAUUUUUUUGGUGUAGAAUGCUUUUUUAGUGGCUGCACCGACCAGAAAGCUGAACUCAGCUGGAUCCGGCGGCGGCUGGACUUGUAGGGGCUGCGGCGUCCUGCGUUGGGUCGAGGGUAACCGGAUCCGGCGGCGGCUGCGGCUGGACUUGGGAAAAGAAUGAACGGAGAAGGAGAGGCAACGAGGUGUUGCAGGCGGCGACAUGGUCGGCGCAGCCGACGGAGACAGGGAACUCCUCGGGGGUGGUCUCCCUGGCUGUGCAGGGUCACCCGGCGGCGGUGGGCGUAGGCGCCAUCGGCGUGUCCCUGGAUGAGGGGUCGUGGUAUGUGGGGCAGCGGAUAACCGGCAAAAGCCGAGCCAUGCGGAAGAUAACCGCUGUC